rnacentral:lncRNA from 1 species
GCUGGACCAGCAAUUUAGAUCAUUGAACCUGGCAUGAGUGCUACAAAUUCAACAAAGCCAAUAUGUGAUGUUGAGCUACUGGGAACAUUAGAUAGGCUUAGAAACUAAACAUAUAAGGUCCUGCCCCAUCUCCUGGAAGAAGGAAUGCUACACAGAGAGGCUAAGAAGACUCUGGACAGUGCAGAAUCUGGAGCUAGAGAAAAAUUUAAAAAGCCACAAGGAUGUGAAUUGCUGAGCCUGAGAUAGAAGAGCUGCUGUUCCUGCUGAAGAGCAAUGACACCUAUCGAUAAUAUAAGGAGACAGAGACCGCAGUUGUUGAGUUCCUGAAAAUACA